AUACGUAGGGUGCAAGCGUUGUUCGGAAUCAUUGGGCGUAAAGCGUACGUAGGCGGACUAGCAAGUCAGGUGUGAAAUCCCACAGCUUAACUGUGGAACUGCGCUUGAAACUGCUAGUCUUGAGGAUGGUAGAGGCAAGUAGAAUUCCUGGUGUAGAGGUGAAAUUCGUAGAUAUCAGGAGGAAUACUCGUGGCGAAGGCGGCUUGCUGGGCCAUUCCUGACGCUGAGGUACGAAAGUGUGGGGAGCAAACAGGAUUAGAAACCCCAGUAGUCC
rnacentral:rRNA from 1 species